AUUGAACGCUGGCGGAAUGCUUUACACAUGCAAGUCGAACGGCAGCACGGACUUCGGUCUGGUGGCGAGUGGCGAACGGGUGAGUAACGUAUCGGAACGUAUCCAAUAAUGGGGGAUAACGAGUCGAAAGAUUCGCUAAUACCGCAUACGCCCUACGGGGGAAAGCUGGGGACCUUCGGGCCUGGCGUUAAUGGAGCGGCCGAUAUCUGAUUAGCUAGUUGGUGAGGUAAAGGCUCACCAAGGCGACGAUCAGUAGCUGGUCUGAGAGGACGACCAGCCACACGGGAACUGAGACACGGUCCAGACUCCUACGGGAGUCAGCAGUGGGGAAUUUUGGACAAUGGGCGCAAGCCUGAUCCAGCCAUUCCGCGUGAGUGAAGAAGGCCUUCGGGUUGUAAAGCUCUUUCGCAAGGGAAGAAAACUUAGCCACUAACAUUGGUUGAGGUUGACGGUACCUUGAUAAGAAGCACCGGCUAACUACGUGCCAGCCGCCGCCGUAA
rnacentral:rRNA from 1 species